rnacentral:rRNA from 1 species
CCUCAGGUGGUCAGGUAGAGAAUACCAAGGCGAUCGGGUGAACUGUGGUUAAGGAACUCGGCAAAUUGCCCCCGUAACUUCGGGAGAAGGGGGGCCUCCGCUGGUGAUCAGACUUGCUUUGUGAGCUGGUGGGGGUCGCAGAGGCCAGGGGGAAGCGACUGUUUACUAAAAACACAGGUCCGUGCGAAGUCGUAAGACGAUGUAUACGGACUGACGCCUGCCCGGUGCUGGAACGUUAAGGGGACCGGUUAGCGGGACGUAAGUCCUGCGAGGCUGAGAACUUAAGCGCCAGUAAACGGCGGUGGUAACUAUAACCAUCCUAAGGUAGCGAAAUUCCUUGUCGGGUAAGUUCCGACCUGCACGAAUGGCGUAACGACUUCCCCGCUGUCUCAACCGCAGACCCGGCGAAAUUGCACUACGAGUAAAGAUGCUCGUUACGCGCAGCAGGACGGAAAGACCCCGGGACCUUCACUACAGCUUGACAUUGGCGUUUGGACGUCUUGUGUAGGAUAGGUGGGAGACUGUGAAGCUGUCACGCUAGUGGCGGUGGAGUCAUUGGUGAAAUACCACUCUGGUCGUUUUGAACGUCUAACUUCGGUCCGUGAUCCGGAUCAGGGACAGUGUCUGGUGGGUAGUUUAACUGGGGCGGUUGCCUCCUAAAGAGUAACGGAGGCGCCCAAAGGUUCCCUCAGCCUGGUUGGUAAUCAGGUGUCGAGUGUAAGUGCACAAGGGAGCUUGACUGUGAGACCGACGGGUCGAGCAGGAGCGAAAGCUGGGACUAGUGAUCCGGCGGUGGCAUGUGGAAGCGCCGUCGCUCAACGGCUAAAAGGUACCCCGGGGAUAACAGGCUGAUCUUCCCCAAGAGUCCAUAUCGACGGGAUGGUUUGGCACCUCGAUGUCGGCUCGUCGCAUCCUGGGGCUGGAGUAGGUCCCAAGGGUUGGGCUGUUCGCCCAUUAAAGCGGUACGCGAGCUGGGUUUAGAACGUCGCGAGACAGUUCGGUCCCUAUCCGCUGCGCGCGCAGGAGACUUGAAAGGAGCUGUCCCUAGUACGAGAGGACCGGGACGGACGAACCUCUGGUGUGCCAGUUGUUCCGCCAGGAGCAUGGCUGGUUGGCUACGUUCGGAAGGGAUAACCGCUGAAAGCAUCUAAGCGGGAAGCUCGCCUUGAGAUGAGGUCUCCCACCACGAAAGUGGGUAAGGCCCCCGGGAGGCGACCGGGUUGAUAGGCCGGAGGUGGAAGCAUGGUAACGUGUGGAGCUGACCGGUACUAAUAGGCCGAGGACUUGACCAC